GGAUUGUGGCUCAGCGGUAGAGCGCUCGCCUAGCACGUGCGAGGCACUGGGUUUGAGCCUCAGCACCA
rnacentral:tRNA from 1 species